UGAAGCCUCAGACAGAAAGAAAGAAGGGAAGACAAGAGGGUUUCUGGGCCUGAGGGGGAGGAAGAGAGAUGAGGAGAGACAGAGAUCCAUGGCGUAGGGAUCUAGAGAAAAAAAGAAAACAAGGGCAGGCUGCCUGUGUAGUUUUCUGAGUUUUCAAACUAAGAAAAUAUCUGAAAUGAGACAAGAAAAAAAAUGCAUGCAAAGAAAAUGGCUUUAAAGGACAAGUUAACAGCGUCUUUCCACAUUGAAAACCGGCCCCAGAAAAUUUCAUUCAGGAAUUGAACACAUAGGUAGAUGAAGUGAGGCUCCAUGAGGUUGAAUAGCUUGCCUAAAGUCCUGUGACUUACUUCCAGGUAACCAAAUUCCUCAGGGCUCCUUCCCCCAGCUGCAUCACUCUAGAUACUGGCCCGCCACGCCGCCCUCCCCUGCGAGCUUCCUGCGCCCCUCCCUCUGAACAGCCCAGCCGGGCCAGCAUUCCAGGAAAUGCCCUUCCCAGAACCAACUCCACCCAGCUGCUGUUAGCACAAUUUGCCUGCAAGACAGAUGCUAUCUCUGACGCUGGCACCGGCCUCCUCCAGGACUGGAGCCCGUGAUAGAUGUCCUCUGAGGUUGACUGGGGAGAAGAAGCCGUUACAUUCUUCUGCAAUGUAAUGCAAAACAGAUCCGGCUUUGGCUCCGGCCAACACCAGGGAAGUGGACUUCAUUGUAAAAGCCACCUUGUCAGCGUCAGCCCCGGGUGAUUAAUGACUCUUUAAUCCCAGAGCAGAAUACCUGACAAAAUACGCUUGGGCCAAAAAGGCAGAACAAACCUAAUUAGCCUGGUCAACCCACUCACAAGGUGUGGGUUGCCAAGGACCCCAACAGCUCGGAAAGGAAGCCUCUCCCGGCCUCUCCCUUUAGGUCUGUGAAAGAAUCAAGUGGCCACAAUGGGGAAGGGACUCCAUUAAAAGCAGGGGCUGGCCAAUGAAUAAACAUGCAGGUUACCGUGUUGAUAUUUCACUGAAUGCCAUUCUGAAGUGGGGUGCUCGGGGCCUUGGAGGCCGGCGCCCCCGGUAUUGUACUGGGGGAGGGACUGGCCAUUUGAAGUCAAGGUGAGGACAUACUGGGGGCAGAUGGAACCUGCUUUGUUUGUGAAAGAGUUUUUCUGCUAUUUAUGCUAAUGAGUGGGAAACACUUCUCAAGCAUUUCAGAUGAUUCUGUAAUGAGGCCCGGCAGAAUGUGCCAACAUUGUUGGCCCAGGACAAUUUUAAACUCCCACUCGCCACAUUAGCAGCCCCUUUCUUUACAUGAAGGCCCUUGGAGGGUGAAAGAGGACAAUGAAGGAAGAGUGAAAACAUCACAAAGAGAGGCUUUUGUUUCCCGUUCCUUUGAACCCUCUCAAAAGCCCGGUUUCAAGGGGUGUGUUGGGCCUGCCUUUCAACGUUACUGAACCCAGAAUCCCUGUUGUUUAGCAACAUAGAAAGCUGACCUUAAUUGACUUCACUUCUGAGCAGGCUUUGUAAAUCACUCUGCCCCCGAGUGAAAUUUCCUGAUGGGGUCUGUAUGUGAGAUACACCGUUUAUACACGGGACACCAACAUGGCCGACGCGCUGCACACGCAAUUUUCCGCUUACAGCCCACUUUGUGGACAUUCUUGAGUUUACUUCUCGCAUGCCACCGAUCUCCCAGUUAGGGAUCACCCGUCACAUUUCACAGCGAAGACAGCCAAGCUUCAGAGAAGUUAGGUGACCUGACCAGAGUCACACAUCAAGAAAGAAAAGGAGGUGUGGCCGGAACGAAGAGCUCCCUGACUUUUCCCACUCCGUCCCUGUUGUUCCAGGGGUUGUACCUCUUGCGUGCGCGUGUGUGUGUGUGCAUGUGUGCGUGUGUGUCAGAAAGACAUGUCCAGAGAGGAGUUUGUUGAAAACAUUAUGCUUGAGAGAAAGAAGGGCACUGCUAGAUUAUGGUGACAUUUUGGAUUUCCUCCUUAAUUUCUGGUCAUGAGAGCAUUUCCUGGACAAGACUUCUCCUUUCACUGGACUCUAGCUGUGCCCAGGUGAUUCAUCCCCACUCCUUCCUUCCUCAGCCUCAAGUCCCGAAACUACAGGUGCAGGGCCAUAAUUCCACCUUCCCUACAGGGGAGCGCUUCCCUGAGCCUUAUCACUUAUCAGGGUGGGGGGGGGGGGUGUUGUGAGGAAGGGAAUCAUCAGCUUUGGCUGCAGUUCAGGCCUGAGAGGAACGUCUAUACCCCCAGAGCCUCUAGACUAGUAACAACCAGAGUUGACUUUGAUUUCUGACCAGGGCUGGCAUCUUGGGCACAUGAUCUGCGCAUUUGCAAUAGACUCUGUGCUCCAAAGGGCAUGGCUUAAUGCCGUGCUCUCACUAUCUUGACCUUCUUAAUACUUUCAUCUUUGAACUUUUGUUUUAUAAGCGAAGUCCAAUAAAACGGCGGAGCAAGGGAGCUGCGUGCACUUCGCGUGUCCACGGAGUUCCUGGCUGCCCCACCGCAUAGAGCAUUCUCCAGGCAUCCCAUGCGGGAAUUCAGCAAAAAUCGUAGCAAGCUCAGUGCCCUGCGCUGCAACUGAGCGGGGCCCACCUGGCCGGGAGAGGCUGUGCUUUUCUGUUGGGACCAGAAUGGAAGAAUGCCAAAAGAAGGCGACGGCGUUCUAAGAGACGCAACUGACCAGAGAGCCCUGUCAUAUUCUUCUUGCCCAUGUGACCGCCCCCUGUGAGCCAGUCAUUCACACUGAAGGCCAUUAGGGACUUGAGGGGCCUUGGGCAUAGAGCAGAUCAGGAGGCUGGCAGGGAGGGUUCAGGGAGGGCGUGGUCUGUGACAACAACCAACAGGAACUUCCCUCCACUGUUAGCAUUUCAGACUGGUAAUCUCCAGCACAGCCUCUGCUGUGAGCCAAAGGUGGAGAGGGAUGGCCAAUGCGUGUGUACCGCGAAACGGAAUAAAAACAGUUGAGUUAGCUUUGAGGAGCACUUCCACGGUUCUGGAAAGAACAAAACACAUACACGUGUCCGGGCUCCAAAGUCAAAGUUCUGUAUUUUGGUGACUCUAGGUAAGGGUUAAAUGCUCUUAUGUUUGCAUUGAGAACUGGCAUUGUACAAUUUAUAGGGGAAUAGUAAAACUCAUGCAAAUGACGUCAACGUUUCAUUUCUCUUUACUUGGAAUGACAUUAAAUAGCAACCACCUUCCCCCGCCCCCCGCAACAAGUUGAGAGAGAGAGAGACCAAGAAAGAAAAGCAAAAGCUUUAUAGGUUGGAACAUUUCACAGUACCUUUUUCCUGCUUUUUGAACAAAGGGUCCAAUACUUUGGUUUUGCACCGGUCCUGCAUUCUGGGGCUAGCCCUGUUCUGAAAGAAGACAUACGGAAAUGAAUAGUAUGUAUUUAAAAAAAAAAAUCUCCGGGGGCACCUGGGUGGCUCAGUUGGUCGGGUGUCCAACGUCGGCCCAGGUCGUGAUCUCGUGGUCUGUGGGUUCGAGCCUGGUGUCAGGCUCUGUGCUGUCAGUUCAGAGCCUGGAACUUGCUUUGGAUUCUGUGUCUCCCUCUCUCUGCCCCUCCCCCACUCACACUCUGUCUCUG